UUGAGCUGCAUGCCGGGAAACUGGCACGUGCAGUUCUAAGCUCAGAGGCUGCCUCAAAAAGAGGUGGGUGAUUUCAAC
rnacentral:ncRNA from 2 species